UCCCCCUCACCAGAGUUCCUCAUAUACCGAUUCUCACAUCACUCCUCGUCACCACUAUCUGUAGCAGCAACAGUCAUGACCAGAGUGAGGAUCUACCUGCUGGCCGCUGUCACCUUCGCCCUUCUACAUACAGGCGGCUAAAUACGGUGAUCCGGCCGACGUUGAGACGAAUCUUCAGGGGUCUGAGGGUCAAAUCAACUACAUCCUGGGAGACGCCGGUCACUCCUUCGUCGUGGGUUUCGGUGUAGACCCUCCACAACCUCCUCACCACCGCUCUAGCUCGUGCCCAGUGCCCCCAGCCUCCUGUACUGAUGGCUGGGCACAACAGCAACCGGGACCUAAUCCACACACGCUAUACGGCGCUCUGGUUGGCGGCCCCUCGGAGGACGAUAGCUACGUAGAUGACAGAAGCGACUAUGUACACAACGAAGGGGCCUGCAACUACAACGCCGCCUAUACGGGAGCUCUGGUAGCCAUCAUCGAGAACAUUUAGAAACCUACACCUCAGUAAAAUAUAAACCAUUAAACACAAAAGAUCCCUACUACUGGUGUGAUAUUAGAAACCAUUAACCACUGCUGUUAUAUUAGAAACCAUUAACCACUGCUGUUAUAAUAGAAACCAUUAACCACUGUUUUUAUAUUAGAGACCAUUAACUACUGUUGUUAUAUUGGAAACCAUUAACCACUGUUGUUAUAAUAGAAACCAUUAACCGCUGUUGGUAUAUUAGAAACCAUUAACCACUGCUGUUAUAUUAGAAACCAUUAACCGCUGUUGUUAUAUUAGAAACCAUUAACCACUGCUGUUAUAUUAGAAAUCAUUAACCACUGCUGUUAUAUUAGAAACCAUUAACCGCUGCUGUUAUAUUAGAAACCAUUAACCACUGCUGUUAUAUUAGAAACCAUUAACCACUGCUGUUAUAUUAGAAACCAUUAACCACUACUGUCAUAUUAGAAACCAUUAACCACUUCUGUUAUAUUAGAAACCAUUAACCACUGCUUGUAUAUUAGAAACCAUUAACCACUGCUGUUAUAUUAGAAACCAUUAACCGCUGUUGUUAUAUUAGAAACCAUUAACCACUGCUGUUAUAUCAGAAACCAUUAACCACUGUUGUUAUAUUAGAAACCAUUAACCACUGCUGUUAUAAUAGAAACCAUUAACCGCUGUUGUUAUGUUAGAAACCAUUAACCGCUGUUGUUAUAUUGGAAACCAUUAACCACUGCUUUUAUAUAAGAAACCUUUAACCGCUGUCGUUAUAUUAGAAACCAUUAACCGCAGUUGUUAUAUUAGAAACCAUUAACCGCAGUUGUUAUAUUAGAAACCAUUAACCACUGCUUUUAUAUAAGAAACCAUUAAUCACUGCUGUUAUAUUAGAAACCAUUAACCACUGUUGUUAUAUUAGAAAUCAUUAACCACUGUUGUUCUAUUAGAAACCAUUAACCACUGUUGUUAUAUUAGAAACCAUUAACAACUGCUGUUAUAUUAGAAACCAUUAACCACUGUUGUUAUAUUAGAAACCAUUAACCACUGCUGUCAUAUUAGAAACCUAUUAUUACUCGUUCCUUAAGAAUAUAAACUUAUUAUUAUUGGGGCCCAUCAGGACUGGGGUCUAUUACUGUCAGGGCCCGUUAAACAUGCAUCCUCCACCCUUACGUUAUGAAAUAAAU